rnacentral:rRNA from 1 species
UACGAAGGGGGCUAGCGUUGCUCGGAAUCACUGGGCGUAAAGGGUGCGUAGGCGGGUCCUUAAGUCAGGGGUGAAAUCCUGGAGCUCAACUCCAGAACUGCCUUUGAUACUGAGGAUCUUGAGUUCGGGAGAGGUGAGUGGAACUGCGAGUGUAGAGGUGAAAUUCGUAGAUAUCGGGAGGAACACCAGUGGCGAAGGCGGCGACCUGGGCAGAUACUGACGCUGAGGUACGAAAGCGUGGGGAGCAAACAGG